rnacentral:lncRNA from 1 species
CUCACCGUCAGGUCCUGCCGCAGGGAUUUCAGCUGCUCGCAGGCCCAGGCGUAGUCGCGGUGCUGCUGCCAGUGCGAGCGCACCAGGGCCAGCGCCUGCCGCAGCACCUGCGGAUUUUGGGGCGUUUUGGGGCGUUUUGGGCCUUUUCGGAGCAUUUCGGGGGUUUCAAGGAGGAUUUUGGGGGUUUUGGGGUGGAUUUUGGGGGCUUUGGGGUGGAUUUUGGGGGUUUUGGGGUGGAUUUUGGGGGAUUUUUCUGUGGAUUUUGGGGGGUUUUUAUGUGGAUUUUGGGGGGUUCCGUGGCAGAUUUUGGGGUUUUUGGGGUGAUGUUUUUGGGGUGGAUUUUGGGGUGAAUUUCGGUGGUUUUGGGGUCACUCACCGGCACGGGUCUCACAGUACUGGGAUCAGGAUUAUUUCGUCAUAUUUUUGGUGGAUUUUGGGGUAUUUUGGGACGUUUUGGACACUCACCGGCACGGGUCACAUGGUACUGGGAUCAGGGAUAUUUUGGGGGUGGAUAUCAGAGUUUUUGGGAUAUUUUGGGAUGGAUUUUGGGAUAUUUUGGGACAUUUUGGGUUAUUUUUGGGUGGAUUUUGGGUGGAUUUUGGGAUAUUUUGGGAUGUUUUGGCUCGCUCACCGGCACGGGUCUGACGGUGCUGGGAUCGGGGUUAUUUUUGGGUGGAUUUUGGGAUAUUUUGGGACAUUUUGUGAUAUUUUUGGGUGGAUUUUGGGUUAUUUUUGGGUGGAUUUUGGGUGGAUUUUGGGAUAUUUUGGCACAUUUUGGGGUGAAUUUCGCAGUUUUUGGCUCGCUCACCGGCACGGGUCUGACGGUGCUGGGAUCGGGGUUAUUUUUGGGUGGAUUUUGGGAUAUUUUGGGGUGGAUUUUGGGGUGAAUUUCUGUGUUUUUGGCUCGCUCACCGGCACGGGUCUGACGGUGCUGGGAUCGGGGUUAUUUUUGGGUGGAUUUUGGGAUAUUUUGGCACGUUUUGGCUCGCUCACCGGCACGGGUCUGACGGUGCUGGGAUCGGGGUUA